rnacentral:lncRNA from 1 species
UUGCGAAUAGAUGUUAAAUCUUAUAUACGGUUUUCUUGCCACCAUCUAGAUGAUCAUAUGAUUUUUCUUUUUUUUUUUCUUUUUUUUUUUGGUACUGGUGAUUGAACUCAGGGGCACUUGACCACUGAGCCACAUCCUCAGCCCUAAUUUGUAUUUUAUUUAGAGACAGAAUCUCACUAAAUUACUUAGCACCUCACUGUUCCUAAGGCUGGCUUUGAACUCAUGAUCCUCCCAGCCUCAGCCCCCUGAGCCACUGGGAUUACAGGAGUGUGCCACCAUGCCUAGCUGAUUUUUCUUUUUUAUGUUAUGGGAAAAUGACAUUGAGACUGACUUUCAAAUUUUGAACCAAUGUCACAUUGUAAUAAAUCCAAAUUAAACCUGCAUUAUCAUUUUUAUACAUUGCUAGAUUUAGCUUAUAUUUUAUCUGGGAUUAUUCCAUCUGUAUUCAUAUGAGAGAUUGGACCAUUGCUCUCCUUUUUUAUUACAUCCUUGACAGAUUCUGAUACCAAGGCAAUGAUGACCUCAAAGUGACUUUAGAGCUAUACCCCUCUUCAUUUCCUGAAAGAGUUUAGUGGAGGUAAACUCUUUGAGGCUGUAAGGUGUACAGUGUCCCCGUUGCCAUUUCUGAUAGUGGUUACAUAUUCUUUUUUUUUCUUGAUCAAUUCUAUUAAUGUUUUCAAAGAAUGAAUUUUUUAUUGAUUGAUUAUUCUCUAUUAUAUGCUUAUUUUAUAUUUCUUUGAUUGUUUCCCUUGUUCAUGUUGCAUUCUUCCUUUUGUUUUUAAAAUUUGCUCUCCUUUUUCUAAUUUCUUGAGAAUAUGAUGAAACUUUAGAUUGCUGACUUUUGAUCUUUUUUUCUUUGUGGUAUAUGAAUUUUAGGCCAGGAGUUUUUUCUUUUAAACAUGGCUUAAAAUCUUUCCCAUAUAUUUGGAUAUGUCACUCCAUCAUUAUCACUUAGUUCUGUAUAGUCCUUGAAGUCCUCCCCCAUUUCCUCUUUGCCCUUGGUUUAUUCAGAAUUAUAUAACUCAAUUUUCAAACAGCUGGGUAUUUGACUGUUUCUUUUUCCCUAGCUGACUUCCACGGUUGUCAAAGAACAUUAUCUUUUUAUUUUAAUUUUUUUGAAGAAUUGGAGGCUUGUUUUAUUGCCCAGCCAUGACCAAUUUUGGAAACUGUUUCAUGUGCACUUAAAAAUAAAGUGUAUGCAAGAGUUUAGAAUGUAGCAUUAUAUGUAUGCUAAUUAUGCCAAGUUUGCUAUCUGUUUUGUUAUAAUUGUCGGCUGUUUCUAUCUGCUUGAAGAUAAAGUGUAGGAAUUGCCCAUCAUGAUCAGAACUGGUCUACUUAGCCUCUGUAUUUUGUCAAUUUUGCUUUGUGUGUAUUUUGAAGUUGUUUUUAGAUGUGUACGGAAUAAGAUUUAUAAUGUCGUCUUAGUGGACUGACUGCUUUAUCAUUUUCAAGUGUCUGUCUCUAGUAAGGUCUCCGUCUGAACGCUGCCUUGGUGUGACUUUUGCAGGAGUCUGCUAGUUCCCUUUGUUUUGCUGUCCCUGGAGUACCUUUCCCUAUUCUUUUACAUUUAACCUUCCUGUGUCCUAGUAUUUAAAGUCUGCCUCCUCUAAAGAGAAUAUAAUUGUUUUUUUUUUUAAAUAUAUACAUUGCAGAAAAUUUAUAAAAGGCCAAAGAAUGUGGGAAAAAUCAACAGCUUGUUUAGUAUUCAAAAAAGGCAUUUUGAAACAAGCACACACCAUUGGAUAGGCCUAUCACACAGACUGACCACAUCUACAGGUGGUCAGGGUAGGGAAAGCAAGCCUUCUAAAACGGUACAAUACUCAUAGUGGGAUUUCAAACCAUCGUUUU